UGCCUCUGCCCUCAGAGGGCGUCCGUCCCUCAGAGCUCGCUCCCCGCGUGGCGCGGGUGCGCUGAGGGCUGCCCGCGUUGUGUGCUGUGAGGAUGGGCGUGCUCGGCGCUUUGCGCCCCAUCCGCCGUGACUGCAGGGACGCGUGUCCUACAGACAGCUCUGGGAAGCGAAGUGCAUUUGGCAAAACAGAGAUUUACCCAGGCGCUUGUGAUCAAAGUACUGGGUGCUAAAUAUCCCGCCCAUCAAAACAGAUAGAGGACCUACAUCUCGCUGCUGAAAGCCUCAAAAAUCAGCCUGUGUUGCCAGAACUGUGGAACAUCAAACUAGAAGUGCGAUUUUGAUUCGGGGUUAGGGUACUUCUGUAGUUGUUGGUGGUGUUUGUGUCUAGGACCUUGCCUCUGUGCUAUUGCAAAGCCUGGACAGCUGCUCGCCCCAGGAGUGGAGUUUUCAGCUCGGAGCCCCUUUCCAGGAGCAGAAACUUGAACGAGCCCAUUGAGUGCCUGAGUUAGCUGCAGCAGGAUUUUGAAGUGCCAGAAUCACAGAGUUUAUUAGAUUGGAAAAGACCUUUGAGAUCAUCGAGUCCAACCUUUGACCAAACACCACCUUGUCAGCUAGACCAGAGUGCCAGGUUCAGCCUUUCCAUAAACACUUCCAGAGAUGGUGACUCCACCACCUCUCUGGGCAGCCCAUUCCAAUGUUUAGGGAUCCUUUCUGUGAAGCAAUUCUUCCUUAUGUCCAACCUGAAACUCGGGAGAGGAGGCUUACCCCCACCUAGGAAGCCACAGCCUCCUUUCAGGCACUUGUAGAGAGUGUUCAGUGCCCCCUGAGCCUCCUUUUCUCCAGGUUAAACACCCCCAGCUCCCUCAGCUGCUCCCCACAGGACUUGUGCUCCAGAGCCUUCCCCAGCUUUGUUGCCCUUCUCGGGACCUGCGUCAGCACCUCAGCAUCGUUCUUGAAUUGAGGGUCCCAGAACCGGGCACAGCCCUCGAGCUGUGGCCUCCCCAGUGCCAGAGAGAGAAGACAAGGCAGCUGCUGAGCCUAUGGAGCCUAUUUUCAAACGCACAGAACAUCCCAUUAUUUUAAUCUUGCCCCACACUUUCGAAGUAGCCCGAAAAAAGCACACUCUUGCAGAAAUGGGCAAGGCUUUUGUCAAACCCAGCUCACUCAGGAGUGUGUUUUUUGUAGGGUGUGUGCAAGUCCUAGCAAAUGUUGGAGUAAUUCCGCUCAGCAGCAGGUGGCAGGCUGGUUCCACUUUUGGUCACCUGGGGCUUCCUCAGCUCAAUACAUCUUUUGUCGGUAGAUGGCACUUGUCUCGGGAUGAGAGCUGUUCGGUGGUGUUGGGAGCUGACCAGUAUCACACGGUUCAGGAAACAGCUACCGAAAUUAAAUCUCGUGUAAUUUUCAGUCAUUCAUUCCUGCCCUUGUCAAGACUUAUUACAUAGCUGUAGUGGUGCUCUGAAGAAGCCUGAAGCUAACACAAUUCAUUUUAGCACUAAUUUAUAGUACAGGAGAUACAGAAUGUUAACAGAAUGGUAUGCCGUUGGUAAAAUGCCUAAACAAAAUUAGGUUCUGAAAGAUUUAGCUGCAUAAAAAUACAGCAAAAAAUCAACACCUGUCCUGAAAAACAAUAAAAUGAAUGUUCUUCCCCAAGUAGAGAUUCUAAACCCCAUAUAUAGAAAGCUUCUUAUACACAGAGAUUUUCUUAAUGGUGCCUGUUUCUAACAUAAGAGAUUAUAGUGAGAUCAGUUGUAAAUAUUGCAUCAAUAUUUAAGUCAGUGGGAAAUGAAUUAAAGAAUUUAAUUUGAGACUUUUCAAAACACAAAUGAAAUUAAAAGCGUAGGUUGAGUAUGAACUGCUAUUGGCUACAAUAAUUACUAUGUGGUGACACAUUCACAGCAAACCAAAGAUGACUAACCUAUUUUUUGAGUUGGACUUUCUUACUCUAACAGCCCUUUUAUCUUUUAACUGCCCUUCUACAUCCACCUGCACUUGCCAAGUGACUCUACAUGCUGUAACCCAGUGUUGUAAAGCACACAAGUGACUCAUGACUUAAAUAUUUAAUUUUAAACAUUUUGUAUUUUCAUAAACUGAAUAAUAACCUUAUUUUCCCUUGUCUAAGGACAUAAAGUAUCUUCAUUCCUAUUGACAGAAUCUCUUUCUUGCCACUGAAAAUGAAAGCAGAAUUUAAUCAUUUAUAGCUGCUAGUGUCAAUCAGCCAAGUGGAGGACUGUGCUUAUAAUACAAUUGAUUAAUACAUAUUUAAUCAAUAAUACAUAACUAGGCAUUUAUCCAAACCAUGAUAGCCUAAACAUUUAAUUCUUUUAAACUGUAAUAACAUCAGAAAAGGUAGCACACAUAAAAGAUAAAAGGGAAGCAGGUUUAGAAUUGGCUUGGGAUUAUCAGAGAUAGCAGAGCUGAAUGAAUUAGUACCCUGCUAGCACACUGCAUCUCUUGCUUUUAUCUGUGACUAUGAGUAUUACUGUGCUUGCAUUUUGUGCUGAUAUCUUUAUAUUUCUCAAGUGAAUUACUCACUGACAUAAAGGGUCACAGGAGAAGGAAGCCAAACAGGCAUUGUUAACGUAUUUUAUUGCAAAAUAUGAACUGCAUUGUGCCUGUGUUUCUUCAUGAAUGCUUUUGCUGUUAAAGCUGCAUUAAUUUUCUGUGAACGAUGUGCUGCUCUCGGAAAGUCACUUCAGUCUGUCCUGUGUGACUGACCUAUCAAUGAAUCAGAAUUACAGAUCAGAAGCACACAUCAGUAUGUGAAUUUCUCAAAAAAAGGGGAAAAUGCAAAGCAAUGAAAUGUCAAUUUCACACAGCAUGGAGGUCCAUAUUUGUAUGGCAUUAUGACCCAAGGAUGUAAUGUACAGAGAAUAAGUGAAUUUUUCAUGUGGGUUUCAUUUGCUCUAAACUGAUGGAAGAUGUACUUAAAAAAAAUAUAUAUACACCAUCCCUUGUUCCUGUCAUAAUAGGAAAUGAUUGAUGCUCAGGAAAGAAGUUACAAAUUGGGUCAUUUCAGCUUUUCUAAGAUAUCAUCUCAUGUUUUUUCAGAAGCAUGAAUAUUUCCAGAUGGAGAUGAGGGCUGUGUUAAUGGAAAGGACAAUUUACUUAUACAUUCACAUAACCUUUUCAUUAUGAAGAUUGGCAGAUGUGGAAAAGCUUGGCCUCAUUUCCUGGCCAAAACAGCAUCACCCUGCUGUUUACACUCUACCUGAGAGAAGAAUGCAAAUGUUGACACUAUUAAUGUUCACAACUUAAUUCCUUGUUGAAGUCAGAUGGAAAAAAUAUAACACUCUAAGGUAAAAAAAUUAUAAAGCUGUUUGGCAUCAAAGGGGAAUUCAGCCUUUCAUUUUAGCAUGGAAGCACAACAGGCAAGUCUGUCUCCAAGCAGACCAAACACUGUCCUUGUAAUCAUGAGCAGGCAUCCCCACAUGACAGCAAGGAAAAGGCUUACAGGGCUGAAAAUAGCAAGAGGAGCGGCUGAACUUGGAAAUCUGAGUUCAAAUGUGUCCUACUUCUGUGUUUUCUCAUCCUGCUAAAGAAAGAGUGUUCUUCAGAGGUGACAUGGUUUUGUCUGCAAAGAUAUACAGAAACUGCAAGACAAUUAGGAAGGAAAUAACCAACUGCUGCUGCUUGCUCCAAAUAUAAAGAUCUGUGCCUCAGAUUUUACAUACUCUCAUAGUGCUUGGGAAUGGAGUGUGCACGGAAGCAAGGAGAAUCCAGCAUCUCUCUGUGUGCUCUGCUCUAAAAGGCAUGUAGGCAAUGCUCUAUCCUUUUUACACAUCAAUCAUAGAGGCAGUAAAUCUCUCCUCAAAUCCCAGAAUUUCUACUACUUCAUGCCCAAGUGAGGUUUUAUUCAGCAACAGAGGGGCUGGAAUAAGAAGAUCCUUACAAGAAUUCAUAUACUCCCACAUACAGGGGAGAAAAGGAGCACCAGACAAGCAGACAGCUCCUGGCAGAUGGGAGCAAGAAUGGAGGUAAGCAUGGGGAAGUCACUGGAGGGAGCUGGGGACUGGGAAGGCAAAAAUAUUAGGUAGUACCAGUGGUCAGGUAGGAAGAGGAUCUCCAGGCUGUGGUGGGAAAAGAAGGAAUGAAAGGAUCCAGAAGAAAGAGAAAAUUCAGGAAAAAGGAUCUCUAGGCAGCAGGGGGGCAUGUCCCAAUUUUGCCAUGACAUUGGACUUACUUGCAUCCUUUGGCAACAAAAGCAGCUGUCCCCUGGAGAUACAUGCCCCCAGCAGGCACUAGUUCAGUCUUUGCCAUACAUAAAAUCUUGAAGUGUUAAAUGAGUGUUAAACUUCAUUCUUCCUCUCCUUCCAUCAAAAUCCUCACUCCAAGCAUAAAGCCCAUGUGUUUUACUCUGAUGUGCUGAGCUUAACAGGGAGGCCUGAAACCAGGCAGAGGUGAUGGUUAUUACACACAGACAUGCCCCCCAAUAUAUAGGUGUGGGGAAAGACCACAGACAGCUGGGAACACAACCUUUUACGUCUUUAUUUGCCAGUUAAGAUCCUUUUAUUCCAUCAAUGCAAGUAUGCAGAACAGCAGGAAACCAUGUUUUAAGCAGCACAUACCAGUUGGCUGAGAAUAAACUAACUACAUUCCCCAAGCAAUGUAAAAGUAACAAUGCACAUCAUCUUCUAAAAGAAGAGACAAACAGAUGUUGCAGCCGAGAGGCACAGCAGGCAGCUUCCGUACAAAGUAGUUUGGCUGUUUAAAAUGCUAGAACCAGCCCUUGCCCAUUUCUCCAACCCCACCCCCAAAAGUCCUGGUAUAAUUUAACCACCUUUUUUUUUGCUAUCUACAUAAUAUAUAAAAUAUAAACUCUGUUUACUUAUAACACUUAGUUUUCUUGAUAAAUAGCUCUUUAAAAUAUCUACUGUACAUAUGUCCAUGCGUUGACAUUAUAUAUAUAUAUAUAUAGCAUUUAUAUAUAUGUAUGUAUGUCUGAAAAACAAUAAAUAUAUACUUAAUAUUGACACAGCAACAAACUGAACAUUUUCUCAAUUUCAAAAUCAAAUAAAAGCAAACCAGUGGGAGAGCAACAGUGAGUGCUGCUCCUGAAGCACAGCACAGCAGGGAGCUUUGAUUCCUGCCCUGGCGGGGCACUCGGAAUGCCCCGAACUCGAGCAGUUGUGGUGGUCACCUAUCCUGUAAUGUACUGUAUUAGAAGUCACUUCAGGUUGUAGUUAGCCACCCUGAAUGCCAUGUGUAACACAGACUGAGCAGGAGCUCAGUGGGUAGCGAGGGAGGCUCACCUCCAGGUUUGCAAUGGAAUGAGAAACAAAGAGGGCAGGGAAGUGAGUCCAAUGGCUGAUAUAAAAAAAAAGGAAAACAAAUAAUGGACAGCACAUGGCUGGAAGGUCAUAAAUAACCAAGGUAAACAAGUCAAUAGAGCUAAGUGCUUUUAAAGACAAUGGCUGGCAUUGCUGCAAAAAGUGUCUUGAUGAUCUGUUGCCAACUCCAUGGAAUGAAUCAGUUUUCCCACUGCCACAAGAAGACACAAAGGAAACUCAGAAGGCCAAAUUCAGAUGUUAAAAAUGGGGUCACUGUAAGAUACUGUGAGGGUCCAGCUUCAGAGCUGAACCUGCCCAAAGGCAGCUGAAGUCACUGAACAUCCUUAAACCAAAUGGAUGAGAUUUUUAAAGUAUGGAUUAAAAAAAAACAAAACAAAACAACCCCCCC